rnacentral:lncRNA from 1 species
CCUCUGCGCUUGCCUGGAGGCACAGGGGAUCUGUGAGAGGCAGGGCUGCAUCCAAGCAUGCUGCAGGUUCCAUCCAUCCGAUAACACAAGGGGCAGUGACUGUACAAGCUGGGAGCCGCUCACUUCAAUGUGAUGGACACAGACACAGGGAAGGAAGAAGAAAGAUGAAGAGCAAGAGGAGUGAGCCAUCCCCUGUUGCAAGAAAAAGAAAAGCCUUGGUGUUGGUGCUAGAAGCCUCCAGCACCCUGGGAGCCUCCUGGAGCAGAAGCUCUCUGCUCGCCACAUUGCAGCUGCAGGGACUUGUGCAGUAAGGACCCCAAACUUGUAGGUGGGAGAAUUAGAGGUAAGUGUGAGGGGGCAGUGGGCUCACGGGCUGCUUUGAGCUCUCCAAGGGUGAGCUACAGCUAUCUGAGAGACAUUUAGAUGCUCUCCCAUUCCCGGGGCACGAUGGCUCAUUUGGAGUAUAAUCACCAUCAUUCUGUUUAUUAAGACAUGACUAUUGAAUGUCUGAUUGGCACAGAAGUUUGAUUUGUGGUUUUGUCUUUAUAAAGGAAUGUGCUUUUGCUUUUUUGUUUGUUUUGUUUUGUUUUUGUGAUCUGUCUGGCUACUAACGCUGCAAGGUAUAUAUAUAUGAUGGGGCAGUAAACUGGAUCAUGCCUUGUUGAGGAGUGCUUAUGGAGGUGCUGAAAAAGAACAAUCUUUAAAAAAGAUUAUCACAGACUUGGGACUGUCACACACAGACUCUGGUGUGAGUGAUGGACACAGGGGCUCUGUCACACAUAGACCCUGUCACAUAUAGACUCUGGUGUGAGGAAUGGACAUGGGACUGUCAGACUCUGGUGUGAGGGAUGGACACACAGCACUGUCACAGACAGACUCUGGUGUGAGGGAUGGACACAGGGCUCUGUCACAGACAGACUCUGGUAUGAGGGAUGGACACAGGGCUCUGUCACACAGACCCUGUCACACAUAAACCCUGGUGUGAGUCACUGGGGAGUCUUGGGCUAUGCACACUUCCCUCCUCAGGAGUCUGGGUUUCCACUCAGUUGUCCCCAGCAUAUGGCCUGUCAGGCAGGGUCAUUGUAAGAGAGCCUAUUAAAGCUGGCUAGCCUUCCUCCUCUAUAUCCCUUCUGUGGUCACUUCUGAUUCCCACCCAAGGCCAGCCAUCAGGCCCUGCACACAGCAAUAGCAUGUGACCCUUGAGAGGCACUGCACAAAAUGAUUGCUAUGAUC